AGCGUACACGGUGGAUGCCCUGGCAGUCAGAGGCGAUGAAGGACGUGCUAAUCUGCGAAAAGCGUCGGUAAGGUGAUAUGAACCGUUAUAACCGGCGAUGUCCGAAUGGGGAAACCCAGUGCAAUUCGUUGCACUAUCGUUAACUGAAUACAUAGGUUAACGAGGCGAACCGGGGGAACUGAAACAUCUAAGUACCCCGAGGAAAAGAAAUCAACCGAGAUUCCCCCAGUAGCGGCGAGCGAACGGGGAGCAGCCCAGAGUCUGAAUCAGCUUGUGUGUUAGUGGAACGGUCUGGAAAGUCCGACGGUACAGGGUGAUAGUCCCGUACACCAAAAUGCACAGGUUGUGAACUCGAAGAGUAGGGCGGGACACGUGGUAUCCUGUCUGAAUAUGGGGGGACCAUCCUCCAAGGCUAAAUACUCCUGACUGACCGAUAGUGAACCAGUACCGUGAGGGAAAGGCGAAAAGAACCCCGGCGAGGGGAGUGAAAAAGAACCUGAAACCGUGUACGUACAAGCAGUGGGAGCACCUUCGGGUGUGACUGCGUACCUUUUGUAUAAUGGGUCAGCGACUUAUAUUCUGUAGCAAGGUUAACCGUAUAGGGGAGCCGCAGGGAAACCGAGUCUUAACUGGGCGUUAAGUUGCAGGGUAUAGACCCGAAACCCGGUGAUCUAGCCAUGGGCAGGUUGAAGGUUGGGUAACACUAACUGGAGGACCGAACCGACUAAUGUUGAAAAAUUAGCGGAUGACUUGUGGCUGGGGGUGAAAGGCCAAUCAAACCGGGAGAUAGCUGGUUCUCCCCGAAAGCUAUUUAGGUAGCGCCUCGUGAAUUCAUCUUCGGGGGUAGAGCACUGUUUCGGCUAGGGGGUCAUCCCGACUUACCAACCCGAUGCAAACUACGAAUACCGAAGAAUGUUAUCACGGGAGACACACGGCGGGUGCUAACGUCCGUCGUGAAGAGGGAAACAACCCAGACCGCCAGCUAAGGUCCCAAAGUCAUGGUUAAGUGGGAAACGAUGUGGGAAGGCACAGACAGCCAGGAUGUUGGCUUAGAAGCAGCCAUCAUUUAAAGAAAGCGUAAUAGCUCACUGGUCGAGUCGGCCUGCGCGGAAGAUGUAACGGGGCUAAACCAUGCACCGAAGCUGCGGCAGCGACACUAUGUGUUGUUGGGUAGGGGAGCGUUCUGUAAGCCUGCGAAGGUGACCUGUGAGGGUUGCUGGAGGUAUCAGAAGUGCGAAUGCUGACAUAAGUAACGAUAAAGCGGGUGAAAAGCCCGCUCGCCGGAAGACCAAGGGUUCCUGUCCAACGUUAAUCGGGGCAGGGUGAGUCGACCCCUAAGGCGAGGCCGAAAGGCGUAGUCGAUGGGAAACAGGUUAAUAUUCCUGUACUUGGUGUUACUGCGAAGGGGGGACGGAGAAGGCUAUGUUAGCCGGGCGACGGUUGUCCCGGUUUAAGCAUGUAGGCUGGUUGUCCAGGCAAAUCCGGAUAAUCAAGGCUGAGGUGUGAUGACGAGGCACUACGGUGCUGAAGUAACAAAUGCCCUGCUUCCAGGAAAAGCCUCUAAGCAUCAGGUAACAUCAAAUCGUACCCCAAACCGACACAGGUGGUCAGGUAGAGAAUACCAAGGCGCUUGAGAGAACUCGGGUGAAGGAACUAGGCAAAAUGGUGCCGUAACUUCGGGAGAAGGCACGCUGGUGUGUAGGUGAAGUCCCUGCGGAUGGAGCUGAGACCAGUCGAAGAUACCAGCUGGCUGCAACUGUUUAUUAAAAACACAGCACUGUGCAAACACGAAAGUGGACGUAUACGGUGUGACGCCUGCCCGGUGCCGGAAGGUUAAUUGAUGGGGUUAUCCGUAAGGAGAAGCUCUUGAUCGAAGCCCCGGUAAACGGCGGCCGUAACUAUAACGGUCCUAAGGUAGCGAAAUUCCUUGUCGGGUAAGUUCCGACCUGCACGAAUGGCGUAAUGAUGGCCAGGCUGUCUCCACCCGAGACUCAGUGAAAUUGAACUCGCUGUGAAGAUGCAGUGUACCCGCGGCAAGACGGAAAGACCCCGUGAACCUUUACUAUAGCUUGACACUGAACAUUGAGCCUUGAUGUGUAGGAUAGGUGGGAGGCUUUGAAGCGUGGACGCCAGUCUGCGUGGAGCCAACCUUGAAAUACCACCCUUUAAUGUUUGAUGUUCUAACGUUGGCCCCUUACCGGGGUUGCGGACAGUGUCUGGUGGGUAGUUUGACUGGGGCGGUCUCCUCCCAAAGCGUAACGGAGGAGCACGAAGGUUAGCUAAUCCUGGUCGGACAUCAGGAGGUUAGUGCAAUGGCAUAAGCUAGCUUGACUGCGAGCGUGACGGCGCGAGCAGGUGCGAAAGCAGGUCAUAGUGAUCCGGUGGUUCUGAAUGGAAGGGCCAUCGCUCAACGGAUAAAAGGUACUCCGGGGAUAACAGGCUGAUACCGCCCAAGAGUUCAUAUCGACGGCGGUGUUUGGCACCUCGAUGUCGGCUCAUCACAUCCUGGGGCUGAAGUAGGUCCCAAGGGUAUGGCUGUUCGCCAUUUAAAGUGGUACGCGAGCUGGGUUUAGAACGUCGUGAGACAGUUCGGUCCCUAUCUGCCGUGGGCGCUGGAGAAUUGAGGGGGGCUGCUCCUAGUACGAGAGGACCGGAGUGGACGCAUCACUGGUGUUCGGGUUGUCAUGCCAAUGGCACUGCCCGGUAGCUAAAUGCGGAAGAGAUAAGUGCUGAAAGCAUCUAAGCACGAAACUUGCCCCGAGAUGAGUUCU
rnacentral:rRNA from 1 species